UACGUAGGGGGGCAAGCGUUGUCCGGAUUUAUUGGGCGUAAAGAGCGUGUAGGCGGUUUGGUAGGUCCGUUGUGAAAACUCGAGGCUCAACCUCGAGACGCCGAUGGAAACCAUCAGACUAGAGUCCGGAAGAGGAGAGUGGAAUUCCUGGUGUAGCGGUGAAAUGCGCAGAUAUCAGGAAGAACACCCGUGGCUAAGGCGGCUCUCUAGUACGGUACUGACGCUGAGACGCAAAAGCGUGGGGAGCGAACAGG
rnacentral:rRNA from 1 species